rnacentral:misc_RNA from 1 species
GAUGAAGAACGUAGCGAAAUGCGAUAAGUAAUGUGAAUUGCAGAAUUCAGUGAAUCAUCGAAUCUUUGAACGCACAUUGCGCCCCCUGGUAUUCCGGGGGGCAUGCCUGUUCGAGCGUCAUUUCACCACUCAAGCCUCGCUUGGUAUUGGGCAACGCGGUCCGCCGCGUGCCUCAAAUCGACCGGCUGGGUCUUCUGUCCCCUAAGCGUUGUGGAAACUUUCGCUAAAGGGUGUUCGGGAGGCUACGCCGUAAAACAACCCCAUUUCUCAGGUUGACCUCGGAUCAGGUAGGGAUACCCGCUGAACUUAAGCAUAUCAAUAAGCGGAGGA